GUCUUCGUAGCUCAGUUGGUCAGAGCGUCCGACUGUUAAAUAUUGCACUUAGUAUUGCACAGUCGCCAUCGGGAGGUCGACAGUUCAAACCUGUCCGAGGACG